rnacentral:rRNA from 1 species
GCCGCCCCCUUUCUUCGUGCUUAACACAUGCAAGUCGAACGGUGAAGGGACCAGCUUGCUGGUUCUGGAUGAGUGGCGAACGGGUGAGUAACACGUGAGUAACCUGCCCCCUUCUUCUGGAUAACCGCAUGAAAGUGUGGCUAAUACGGGAUAUUCUGGGUCUGUCGCAUGGCGGGCCCGGGAAAGAUAUUGCUUCGGUGGGGGAUGGGCUCGCGGCCUAUCAGCUUGUUGGUGGGGUGAUGGCCUACCAAGGCGGUGACGGGUAGCCGGCCUGAGAGGGUGGACGGUCACACUGGGACUGAGACACGGCCCAGACUCCUACGGGAGGCAGCAGUGGGGAAUAUUGCACAAUGGGCGCAAGCCUGAUGCAGCGACGCCGCGUGAGGUAGGGAGGCCUUCGGGUUGUAAACCUCUUUCGCCAGUGAAGCAGGCCUGCUCCUUGUGGGUGGGUUGACGGUAGCUGGAUAAGAAGCGCCGGCUAACUACGUG